GCACGUGGGGAAGGAGAAAGGCGCUUAGAGGCGCAGCGGCCGGGGUCGCGGCUGGGAGGCCGUGUUCUGAGAACGCCGCAGCUGUAGUGGGUGCAGUGACUCCUGCUAGAGAUACAAUUCCUCAUGAACUGAUGCCUAAGGCCCCACAGCUACCUGCUACGGCCCAGUCCUAACAGAAGCUCACGCUGAUAUUAGUGAGGAGAAGACACCAGUCCUCAUUAACUGUCUGGUGGCUAACACCCUGCGGCACACCUGCUGCUGACAAGUCCAAACACAGGCUGCAUCUCAUCCUGAGUGAACCAAAGGUCCCAACCACAAUCCCCAUCUGCCAGGGACACUGGGAGGACCAUCACGUCUGCUGCGGUGCAUGGAGGGGGACAUGCAGCCACCUGCACCUGUGACAGUGCCUGUCUUUCUCCGGGUUGAACUCAAAAGAAACAAACUUUCAGGUCAUUCCAUGGAGUCAUAUACCCAACUGAGGAGAAAUCUGCCUCUAAAAUCCAGAGGCCCCCCGGGCGCUGGUUCUCCAUCUUGGUAGCAGGUGGGGCCAGAUGCCAGCAAUCAUUGUUUACCUCAGACACCUGCCUGCCCCACAGAAGAGCACCGGACACAAACAUAGUUCACUGAGUAAGAAUUCUGAAUUUCAGUCAGAUUUCUUCCUCAGCUACUGACUCUAAAAGUGGAUAACUCUAGAGUAGUAUUGUCCCACUCACUUGGCCCAUUCUGCAUAACGUCAUCAUUGUAACCGACCAGCCAGAAGUAUUUCCUGUGGAAGAAAAGGGCAGUGAGGACCUUCAGCCUGUAGAGAUGACUCAUCCCUGAGGGAAGAUAAUGAAGGUGUAUGGGGACCUUGCCACCUGAAAGAAGUCAAAUUGGAUUGAACUAUGGAAACACGAGGAGGAGGCAUUUGCCUGCACUGUAGGUGCAUAUGGAACAAGGUGAUGUGGACUUUGAAGUUGCUCAAGCAAAGUAACCACAUGGUAUAGCAGCAGCAUAGGGUCUCCUGUAGUUAAAGAAUCGCCAUCUUCCUCAAUAACUUUCUGAUGGCUGACGCCCUAAGCACACCUGCUACUGCUCAGUCUUAACAGAGGCUUUCCAUGGUCCUUAAUGAACAGGGGCAAGUAAACAAAACUAUGCUGGCAUUAUUCGAAAACAGAGGAAUGUCUCUUACUUUCAAAAACAAGAGGAAGACUGACAAAGAUUCUUUUAAAAUUAUCCCAUUAUUAAAUAUUGGGGGAUCGUGUGGUUAAUGACAUUAUACUAACUUGUACAACUUCACAAUACAACAUAGCACACUCCAGUUUGUGCUCAACACCCACAGGAUAGCAUCCUUGGGUUUGAACUCCUUUGCCAUCGUAUCCUCACUCAUGCUUUUUCCCCUCAGGUGACCGCCACGGAAAAAGUCUGCAGGUAGGAGAUCUUCAAGGUGAAUGAGGAGGUGAACGGCCCAAUCUCUGCCCAUCGUGAUGGGUUCGUUACCCACUCUCCUUCACAAACAUCCCGAAUGGUCCGUUGGAGCGCAGCCGUCCAGUUUCCGGUUGGAUAUUGACAUCAUGCAAAGUCACCGGUAAGCCAGGCCACGACUUUGCUUCCUCUGUCAGCAGGUCAUAGGGAGCCUUCCAUGUGCCCACAAGUCUAGGCUGAAAGAGGGAUUGGCUGUCUGGCAGGAGGGCCAGCUCUUAUCUCACAGCUCUGAUCCUCCGAGAUCCCGUCAUGUGUGAACCAUCUCACCUUCAUGUGGUCUCCUGUGUGUGGCCUCUUUAGGCUCCGUGAGUGACAUAUCACCCAGGUCACAGUGGACAGCCAGGUUGCCUGGUAACAGUGGCCCAUGGUUAAGCACUACUUUUCUGAAACCCAGAGAGCCCUUUGUGGAUAAGUCACAGGCCAUCCUCAGCGUGAGGGCAGCCCCUUACCCUCACUGUCUGCCCCUCAAGGCUAGGACUGCUUAGGCCUAAGGAGGGGACGCAAGCCACCAGUGCUGCCCACGUGGACCUCAGCCACAGACUGGAAAUCUGGCCCCUCCAGUCCACUAGGGAGCCGGGGUCCCUAUGGGGCUUGUCCUCUAGGGUAGCUUCUUCAUGUUCUCGAAUGUUCUGAGAGAGGCCUCAGGGCCAAGGGUGCUGGGGCCCUGUGCCUGGCUAGGACUUUCGGAGAGAAAGGCCAGGGAGUGAUGUCAGGCAGAGCCGCACUGAGAGAGAGGCCAGGGCCUGGGGCUGGCGCUCCCUGAGCGAGGCGCAGCCCUGUGGUGAUGGGCCCGCUAUGUGGGGCCAGGUGGGCUCUCUGUGCAGGAGCUUUGGCUCCGAGGUGUUGACACUAGGCCGGACUCUGAGGCUCGCAUCGUCUCUGACCAUGUCACGCUGACAUGGACAAGUCACAGGCAUUGUUCUUUUUCUUCUUCCAAUGCCAAUUGUCUCUGUACUUCCUUUCAGUUUCACCAUAAUCUUUGCCUCUAGGUACAUAGCAACACAGCAGAUUUCUUUUUAAAACCUAGUAUUGAAGGUUGAAUAUCUUUCCCCAUUCUAACCUUACGUCACUCUCCCAAGGACAAAUAGGAAAACUCAAGGUAUCUGAGGCCCGGACACACCUCCAUGACCAGCCGGCUGCCUCGGAGCUGGGGACUCCGUGCUUCCUGCCGUCAGCAGAUCCAGCCUCAGAAACAGACCAGUUUACAAUCAUCUCUGAAAACUGCCACAAAUGGGCGGCCUGUUCUAAGCCGGGUCACCCAGGAAGGACGGGGGUAAGAGGGACAUUUUGCUCCAGAAACAGAAUGUCCAAAAAGGCCCAGCCCAUUAUUUUCCCCAGAAACGUUUGGAGGAGAGUAAAAUCCCAACAUGAGCUUCGAAGGCCCCUGUGCCCAGGGGAUGGCGUUGCCUGCUGAGGAGGGGCAGCAGGGGACACGGGCAGUUUCUCCACAGGCCGCAGCGGGAAGCUGGGCAGGAGCCUGGCGGGCCCCGGGUUCUCUAAGAGGUUCUUCUAGAAACAGACCCCUCAGAUGCUUCCUCUCACUUCAGGUAAGAAGUUACUGUUAAGGCACUUGGGGAGUUUCCCUUCUUCAGAAAGGAGGCACAGAUAUGUGAGUCAUCAGUGCAGCCUUAGUGGGAGACCUGAAGGUGGGGGACCCCGUAGAAGUGGACAAAGGCUGCUGCCACCACCAUGACACUAAAUACCCAACGUGACUGGUUCCAUGUGUCAACUUAAUAGGACCGAGCGCUCUGUAACUGGAGCAGCCUGGAGGCCAGCUCUGGGCUGCACAGCCCAGCCAUGAGGAAGAGCCGGCCCAGCUGCCUGCGUGUGUCCUUGACACAGCCCCUGGUGAGAGUCAAGGGCGUGGUGGACACAACACUGCUCCAGCCAGGGCCCAGGGACACCCCGACCUUGUCCACAGGUGUUUAGCGGGGGCCCAUUGUGCCACAAUGGUGGCGGGAUGCCCAGGACACAGAUGAUGGAGCGGUACAUGAGCCAGGGCUGUGGGGGCAGCAGUAAUGGAACCAGGGCGCCAAGCUCUGUAAUGUAGAGCAAGCCCCGCCUAAUGCAGUCUGCAAACUGCCCGAGAGGCUUUCUGGGAAGAGCUGUAGGUGGCGGGAAAGAGCCAGGAGGAGCUGAGGCAGAGCUCUGCGCCCAGGAACACCCCCAGCCCAACUGCCCCCAGCAGGGGCCAGAAGUACCUUUGGUCUGAGCAAGGUCAAGGUUCACAGAAAGAGAAACAGCAGAAAGAACCAGUAAGCAGAGCCGUGCAGUGAGAGCCCCUUUCUGUGCGGGUGCAGAUGCUGCUGGGAGCAGCCUGCGCGAGGGCCUGGCCUGUGCCCUUCAGCAGGAAGCUGUCCUGCAGCCGGUCAGGUAGCACGGCCUCAGCGUCC